AACUUAGCAGAGAUGCUUUGGUGCCUUCGGGAACUCUGAGACAGGUGCUGCAUGGCUGUCGUCAGCUCGUGUUGUGAAAUGUUGGGUUAAGUCCCGCAACGAGCGCAACCCUUAUCCUUUGUUGCCAGCGAUUCGGUCGGGAACUCAAAGGAGACUGCCGGUGAUAAACCGGAGGAAGGUGGGGAUGACGUCAAGUCAUCAUGGCCCUUACGGCCAGGGCUACACACGUGCUACAAUGGCGCAUACAAAGAGAAGCGACCUCGCGAGAGCAAGCGGGACCUCAUAAAGUGCGUCGUAGUCCGGAUUGGAGUCUGCAACUCGACUCCAUGAAGUCGGAAUCGCUAGUAAUCGUAGAUCAGAAUGCUACGGUGAAUACGUUCCCGGGCCUUGUACACACCGCCCGUCACACCAUGGGAGUGGGUUGCAAAAGAAGUAGGUAGCUUAACCUUCGGGAGGGCGCUUACCACUUUGUGAUUCAUGACUGGGGUGAAGUCGUAACAAGGUAGGCGUAGAUGA
rnacentral:rRNA from 1 species